rnacentral:rRNA from 1 species
AUGGACGCGGAGAGCGGCGGCGGUGCGGCGAGGGCGGCGCGCAGGAAGCCGUGGAGCGCGGAGCUGCUGCUGGCGUACCAGAGCCUCGGGGUGGUGUACGGCGACGUGGCGACGUCGCCGCUGUACGUGUUCAAGAGCGCCUUCGCCGGCGGGGACAUCGAGCAUUCCGCGGGGAACGAGGAGAUCUACGGCGUGCUAUCCCUCGUCUUCUGGACGUUGACCCUGAUCCCGCUCCUCAAGUACGUCUUCUUCGUGCUCCGCGCCGACGACCACGGCGAGGGCGGCACCUUCGCGCUCUACUCCCUCAUAUGCCGCCGCGUCCGCGCGGGGCUCCUCCCCGACGGCGACGAGCUCGCGGCCCGGCGCGAGGGCGCAUCGCCGCCCGCGCCCCUCUCGGCCGUGCGCGCCGCGCUGGAGCGGCACAGGGUCCUGCAGAGGAUGCUGCUGCUGCUCGCUCUGCUCGGGACGUGCAUGGUCAUCGGCGACGGCGUGCUCACCCCUGCCGUCUCUGUGUUCUCGGCGGUUUCCGGGCUGGAGCUGGAGCUGGACAAUGAGCAGCACGAAUAUAUAUUGCUACCGGUGACAUGCGCUAUAUUGGUGGGUUUAUUCACCCUGCAACACUACGGCACACACCGGGUCGGCUUUCUUUUCGCACCCAUCGUUUGCUUGUGGCUUCUCUGCAUCAGCAUCAUAGGGCUCUACAACAUCAUUCACUGGAAUCCACAUGUGUACCGAGCUCUUUCACCAUACUACGCGUACAAAUUUCUCCAGAAGACUCAAACAGGUGGCUGGAUGUCGCUGGGUGGGAUCCUUCUAUGCGUAACGGGUUCUGAAGCUAUGUAUGCAGACCUUGGACAUUUCUCUCAGUCUUCAAUCAAGAUAGCUUUCACAUCUUUAGUGUACCCAGCUCUGAUAUUGGCAUAUAUGGGACAAGCUGCUUACAUUUCAAGGCAUCACAAUUUUGAGAAUAUUAAUCAUAUUGGAUUUUACGUAUCAGUCCCAGAAAAAAUCAGAUGGCCUGUUCUGGUGAUUGCAAUUCUCGCAGCCGUUAUUGGGAGUCAAGCAGUUAUUACUGGCACAUUCUCAAUUAUCAAACAGUGUUGUUCCUUAAGUUGCUUCCCAAAGGUGAAGAUUGUGCAUACAUCCUCUACAGUACAUGGUCAGAUAUACAUACCAGAGAUCAAUUGGAUCUUGAUGAUACUAUGCCUGGCUGUUACUAUAGGCUUCAGAGAUACAAAGCACUUGACAAAUGCACAAGGUCUGGCGAUCAUAACUGUAAUGCUGGUCACUACUUGUUUGAUGUCACUGGUUAUUGUUCUUUGCUGGAACAAGAGCAUAGUGUUUUCUCUCGUGUUCCUUCUAUUCUUUGGUGCAAUUGAGGUUCUUUACUUCUCAGCAUCCCUUGUGAAAUUUCGCGAAGGGGCUUGGGUACCCAUUAUGCUCUCGUUAUUUUUCAUGAUAAUUAUGUGCGUGUGGCAUUAUGGUACCAUAAAGAAGUAUGAGUUUGAUGUCGAAAACAAGGUCUCUAUAAGUUGGCUCUUGAAUCUCGGCCCUUCCUUGGGGAUUGUUCGCGUCCGAGGGAUUGGUCUGAUACAUACAGAGCUUAUGUCUGGGAUUCCAGCCAUUUUCUCUCACUUUGUCACCAAUCUACCUGCAUUUCACCAGGUUCUGGUCUUUCUAUGCAUUAAAUCAGUGCCUAUACCACACAUCCGACCUGAGGAGCGAUUUUGGGUCGGCCGCGUCGGCCCAAAACAGUACCGUCUAUACAGGGUGGUUGUCCGAUACGGAUACCGCGACGUGCCGAAGGACGACAUAGAGUUUGAGAAGGACCUAGUGUGCAGCAUUGCAGAGUUCAUCCGCUGCGGCGACUCCGACGACCAAAACGGCUUACUGGACGGUGCCACAGACCAUACCUCUGAGAGGCUGUCUUCCAUCACUAAAGGCCUACCGUUUCAGGAGGACGAUGACAGUGAGAUCAAUGGAUCGGACACGUCGAUACUGUCCACGGGCAAGGAGACGUACCAGAACGCGGUAGGACCGAAGGCAAAGAGGGUGAGGUUCGCGCUCCCGAAGGACGCGCAGAUCGACAGCGAGGUCCGCAGCGAGCUGCAGGAGCUGACAGAUGCUAGAGAGGCAGGCAUGUCCUUCAUCACGGGGCGCGCGCACAUGAAGGCGAAAAGCGGGUCUGGCCUGGUGAAGAAGAUCGCGAUAAACUGCAUCUACGAGUUCCUGAGAAGGAACAGCCGAGGUUCUGCCACGGCAGCUAACAUACCUCAUGCCUCGACCCUCGAGGUAGGGAUGGUGUGCCAGGUCUGA